rnacentral:tRNA from 1 species
GUCCUCGUGGUGAAAUGGAUAUCACGGCAGACUUCGAAUCUGCUGUUGAGGGUUCGAAUCCCUCCGAGGACA